rnacentral:rRNA from 1 species
CCUACGGGGGGCUGCAGUGGGGAAUAUUGGACAAUUGGGGCAACCCUGAUCCAGCCAUGCCGCGUGUGUGAAGAAGGCCCUCGGGUUGUAAAGCACUUUCAGUGAGGAAGAACGCCUGGUGGUUAAUACCCAUCAGGAAAGACAUCACUCACAGAAGAAGCACCGGCUAACUCCGUGCCAGCAGCCGCGGUAAUACGGAGGGUGCGAGCGUUAAUCGGAAUUACUGGGCGUAAAGCGCGCGUAGGUGGCUUGAUAAGCCGGUUGUGAAAGCCCCGGGCUCAACCCGGGAACGGCAUCCGGAACUGUCGAGCUAGAGUGCAGGAGAGGAAGGUAGAAUUCCCGGUGUAGCGGUGAAAUGCGUAGAGAUCGGGAGGAAUACCAGUGGCGAAGGCGGCCUUCUGGACUGACACUGACACUGAGGUGCGAAAGCGUGGGUAGCAAACAGGAUUAGAUACCCUAGUAGUC